rnacentral:rRNA from 1 species
UAAACGACUCUUGGCAACGGAUAUCUCGGCUCUCGAAUCGAUGAAGAACGUAGUGAAAGGCGAUACUUGGUGUGAAUUGCAUAAUCCCGUGAACCAUCGAGUCUUUGAACGCAAGUUGUGCUCGAAGCCGUUAGGCGGAGGGCACGUCUGCCUGAGCGUCACAC